ACUAGGGUUCUUGAGAUGUUGAAUACUAAAUGAAGUAAAGGCAGCACCCAUGGUGAUGAAUUCGAUGGAUGGAAAAUUUUGCAAUGAAGCUAGAGAGGGCGCCCAUGGUUGAAGAAAAUCAUAUAUGAGCAAAUCUGGGCUUAGGGUUUUGAGGAUGUUGGAGAAGUUGUUGCUGGACAUAUCAAAGGCCCUUUUGAGAGUGGACAUGAGAUGGGGAGGGAGGCCAUUGGUGGUAUGGUAGUGAGGUGGGAGUUCAGGCAAGUCAUCAUGUGGAAGAUGGAGUUCCACAAAUUCAAUGCAAUGAGAAUAUUUUUGGGAGAGUUUAGGCUUGAUGGAGCUGAGAUUUACAGGCGUGGAACAAAUAAAGAUGUGAAAAUUUCUCUUGGUGGUCAGCUUCUUGGCUAGCUCUAGGUAGGGAGAUAUAUGGCCGUGAGCUAGCCAUGGAAGCAUAAGAAUAGUAAGUUUUCUUUGGUCAGAGUAAACCAUAUUUUGUUUUCCUUUCACUCUUUUGCUUGAGGUUGCUCGAUUAUAGGCUUAUUGGUAGUUUUUUUGUAGCUAGCUCUAUGCAUAUAUAUAUAUAUAUACACACACAUUCAUGGGAAAAGAGGCUUGGGGAUGGGAAAUCAAUUGAUUUCCUAUGUUUGGUAAAGUUCGGGUAUGAGAAAUCGUUGCUUUGCACAUGAGAAAGUAGAGGGGAAAGUGAAGCCCUCCUCCUUCCUUAGGUUUUGUUUUCCUCCUCAUGGGAAAGUUUGGGAAAAUGAGCUAAUAUUAAAUACAUAUUUUUCAUGACCAUAUUAUCCCCAUUAAUAAUUUAGAAUUACAUAAAUGCAUUCUAUUUUUAUUUGAUUUCAUAUGGGUAUAAUUGAAAAAUUAAACAAAUUUUGUUUUACAUUCCUACACAAACCAAACAUGUGAAAGGAAAUAAAGUGGUAUUUCUUGGUUACUUUCCCAAGAUUACCAAACAUAGGAAAGGAAUCUCUAUUUCCCAUCCCUUAGAAAAUGACUUGGAAAGUAAUUUCUCCUCAAAUUCGUUCCGUGAACCAAACGGAACCUGCAUAAUAGAAGUUCCAAAAAAACACGUGAUGAUUGGAUCAUGCAUAUGUAAGUUCCCGAGUGAUGAUUGGAACAAGUUCCUAAUGAUAAAGACUCGAAACAAGAAUAGUUUAAACUUUCUUCUUUGUUUGGCUUGAUAUAAGACGAAUGCACCAAACAAACCGACUAAUUGCUGGCACAAUAUAAAUUGGGGCUACAAUUACCUAAUAAUUAGGUACUAAGGGCUACAAUUACCUAAUAAUAUCAACUUUCAUUAUACAGAUUUGAGAAACAAAAAGUUCAACUUUGAUGACAAGCGAUAUUAAAGGAGGGCGUAAUCAAACUUAGGAUCUUGAGUGUAGAAAUAAAUACUUUUAACAACUUGAGCUACAAGCCUUUUGUAAUAUUAAUGAUAUUUUAAUUAUACGUUUGAAUAGUUCGCUUCCUUCUCUUUUAUUUUCAUUUGUUUAUAUUUAACUCUAAUUUUAUUUAUAUUUUUGGUCAAGGUAAAAAGACUUUGAAUCUCUCUCCAAUGAUUUUCACAGCCGAAACUCCUUUAGUUUCCACAAAUAUUUUUUAAUAUUUCAUGCAUUUGUAAGUUUCCGACUCGGAUGGUUCAUGUAACCAAGAAGUUUAAACUUGUUUUUGCUUGUUCCGCCGACGAAAGCGCAACAAAAGGACAAACUACAACCAAUACUUCUAGUAUCACCAGUUCUCAUUGAAUUUGUUGCCGUGAAUGUUUAGGAUUCUGCCCAAACUAGUAUUUGCGUUUCUGAAUUGUUUGAAAACACAUAUGAAAUUAUGAUUUCUCCUCCCCAGAAGACAAAUUGACGAAGAAGUAUCAUGAUUUUGAUGACACAAAUUAGAAUCCAGGGUUUUCGAAGUGCCUAAUGGACAACUAUUAAUUUAGAAAUAUAUAUAUUUUUUUCGCAAUGCAGAAACACAUAAAUCCCAAGUUUGAAUUCAUCCUAUUUUUGUUUUUGUUUUUUCCUUUUUUAACCCAGAAGAAAAAUUGAGUGCCACUCUGCUAUGUAGAAUGCAAGUUUUAGUUUAGAUUUUUUUUUCUUUUUAGUCUCUUAUUCUACAUUUAGAUCUCAUAUAUUUACUCGCAUUUUAUUAAAUCUAAGUCAUUCAAACAAUCUGACCACUUAACAAAUUACAAGUACUCAAACUUAAAAUCAGAUUGGAUGGACAUGAGGCUUACACUGAUGAUUCUACACGUGCUGAGAAUAGUCCUUUUAUUUCUUUAUUAUUUUCUUGGUCGGGACUCGAGAGACAGGUGUAGUGUAGCGAUGGAGACGAGGCCCGCAAGACAUAAAAGUCUGAAGAAGAGAAGCGUGAAAGCUUCAUUUAGACAGUUAAGUGCAUACGUAACGUAAAGAUUCAAAGACUAUGUCCCUCUCCAAACAGGGAAAGAUCUGAGUUGAAAGCAACAAACUACAGUCACAAUAGGAAAGCAUCUACAACGUAAAGAAAAUAAGUUUACCAGAAGCAUCGGAAAGAUCUAGAGUCUGAAGAAGAGAUACUGAAGUAAUUGUUCAUCGACUGAGCUUAAAUGAAAUAUUAACUCUUUGUUGUGCCAUAAGCACAAGAUCUUAAGAAAAAAAUUCAAGAUAAACCAUAUAAUAUUUUCUAACCCACAAAAUAAUAUAGAAAAUAAAUGCAAGAACAAGAGAAUAGCAAGACACAACGAGGCUGCUUACAAUCAGUGUAAAUGAGCAAACAAAUUCACCAUCAACAAAUUAGCAUGCUUAUGAAGUGUUUUGCAACCUCACAAACCAAGGCGCCAUAUACACCAAAUGACUCUCACUGAAAAACUAAACAAAGAAACACACUCACACUAAUGAAAGCAACGUUACAAGGUAGGAGAUUGAAUAUUACAUUUACAAUACACUCAUAAGUUACAAAAACUAAUUACAAAUAUUUAGCGCAUAGGUUACAUAGAACUGAAAGGGUGGAAUGAUAAGAGCUAUGGUGGUCAUCCACCAACUCAUGCAUUUACAACACCGCCUCUUGAAUGUCCACCAUACAAUACAAUGAUAUAGUUGCGUCAUUAAACACUUUGCUUGAAAAACUAUAUGGGACAAAACUUAGGCUACGGGAAAAAGAGUGCAACACAAAUAAUAUUGAUAUCACAUUUGUCUCUCCUACGGAAUGAGCUUUGGUGAUGUUUGUAUAAAAAUUGCGUACAAACCAUUAUUGGAAGAUUGGGCUAGAGUGGGCUUUACCCUAGUGUUGACUUUGGAAAGAGACAAAUUAGGCUUAGUUGUGUAAAUUCAAUCCAAAAAAAAAUUAAAUAAUAGCCCACAUCUACAGCCAAAUACUUUAAUACUUUAAUUACUAAAGUUUUUUUUUCUUUCUCUCUCUUCUUUGGUUUAUUCAGCUUUUGAUUUGGCUCAAAUAAUGUUUAUAUCUCUCUUUGAUUUUGUUUUUUCAAAUUUAUUGAUGUUGCUUCUUUUGAAAAUUUUGAAAUAUGGACCCUCCCUAACUAAACCACUCCAUUGAGCAAAAGCCCUUGAGCUUCAAAUUUAUCUUCGUCUGAGCCUCUGAAUUUUGGUUUUUUUUAGGUUUUUUUUGUUUGUUGUAGGUUUCUUUGUUCACAUAUCUCUCUAAAAAUAGUAUUUUUCUUAAUGAAUUCUGAAAAUAGUUUUUAAUUUGAAGGAAAUAUACGGAAUUAGUAAAAAAGUAUACCACUUUCAUUAAUCUGAAGGAAAUAUUGCUUUAUAUAUAUUUGUUUAAAAAUAGGGCUUAUAAUUGAUCUCAAAAAAAAAAAAAAAACAAAUAGCCCACCCCUGUAAAUAUUCCUUAGUCCGCCAUUGCAUGGCAUAAUAUUUGGUAUGCUAUGCUAGCAUCUCAUAAGCUCUUCAAGAGACCUGAAUUUUAUGAUAACUUCUUAAAAAAUUUGAAUACAUUUCAACGAUAUUAAACUUGAAUUUGAACUCAUAAUUCAAUCAAAGUACUCAUUGAGGCAAUUUAGAUCAUUUUCAUUUUAAAAAAAUUGGGUGCACACAUUGAGCUUCAUGCUCUUUACCUUCUUAGAGAUUUUAUUUGAGGAAUUUAUAUUGCAUCACAUAUUACAUCUCUUAGGAUUUGUUCUUAUUAUGUAUUCUUUAAGAGAUCUAUUCUUGCAAUAUGCUUCAAACACUUCAUAAUCUUUAUGAAUUUUUCAUGUAGAUUUAAGGUCUCCAUGAAUAUUGAGAUUGAAACAAGGAGUAAAAGAGUUAAAAGUUUAAGAAAUUUUUUCCCUGAUUAUUUUGUAAUUAUAAUGUUGGUGAAAAUCCAAUUUCCUUUCUAGAAUUUGUGAAAUUUGUUAUUUGGCUAAGCUAAAAGUAUAAUUUUGACAAUAAAAAGCAUAUGAAAGUUUCUCUUUGGUUGGCUUCUUGGCUAGCUCUAGGAACGGACAGUGUGGCCAUGAGAUAACCAUGGAAGUAUAAUAAGAAUGCUUGGAUGCUGUGAACAAUCCAUUUUCUGACUCUUUUUCUUGAGGUGGUUGUUUUCUUAUGGCCCAUCAGAGUUUAUGGUCGACAGAUAAGCUUCAAACACAUGCAUUGGUCGUGUCAGUUGCGAUAAACUCUUCCCAACAAUCAACAAUUUCUAAGGUAAUAUCAUCAUUCAAUCAUGUGCUGAAUUUAGAAUUGUUUUCAAAUCAAGGAUUUGUUUUGGAACUCAGAUUUUAAAACAAUUAAAAUUUAAUUGGGAAGACUUUUUGUUUAAAGGAAGUUCGUUUCAAUUCAAAAAAUAAUUUUUCAGUUUUUCAACUCAAAAGUCUUCUCAGUUUUCUUAUUUUUCUUAUUGGCGAGUUUCUUGGUUAACUCUAGGAAGGGAGAUAUGUGGCCAUGAGCUAACCAUGGAAGCAUAAGAACGCUGACCAUGCUUGGAUUUUGAGAAGACUUCCUCUUUUUUUUUUCCCUGACUCUUCUUCUUGAGGCGGUGGUUGGCUUAUGGCCUCAUAAUAGUUUGGUGUUUUUGGAGAUCAUAUGGUGAUGAUCUGAUGGAGAUGAGUCAUAGUUUGUGCUAGUGCAUACGUAAUUCCAAUUUCCUGAUUCAGAUGGGAUAAACUCUUCCAACAAAUUAAGACUCUUAUCAUGCAUACACAUAAGAAGUGGAAAUUUGCUUCUGUCUUAGUUUGGCCUUGAUAUAGGACAGCUCAUAGGAAAGCAUCCAAAACAAUAUUCUUUUUAUUUUUUUUAUUUGAAUACAAGCGAUAUUAGGAGUGUGGGGAUUUGAACACAUGAUUUAGGGUACAGGGUAAUGCUCUUAACUAUAUGAGUUACAAGUCCCUUGCAAACAGUCUGAAAUACUAAAAAUAAAAAAUAGAUGCUCAUCCAUAUGCACUGUCAUGCCCCAACCCUUGGAUUUACAAAACCUUGUGUUAAGACGUGAUUCACACCUUAAUUAUAGAAUUUAAUAAAAACUAUAACUAAAAUGUGAAGAAAACAUUUAAAUAAAUAAAAUAAAUAUUUCACAUAGAAUAUUCAGUGGAAAUGACAACAUGUGAAAUCUUAAAAAUUUUACAUUAUCUUACAAGUUGGCGUGACUUGUGGAUAUUGACUUACUUUCCUUACACACCAAGAAUUCCUAUUAUAAUUGUAAUUGAUUUACUUUAAUUCAUGAUUUCCUACUGUAAAUAGAUUUAAGAAUUUAUUAUUUACUUGCCCAUUCAGGUUUCGUUGUAUUAUAAAUAUGACCUCCUACAAGGAGAAGAACAUACAGAAAAUUCCCACAAACAAAUAUUCUCUCAUAGUUUUCAUAUUUUAGCAUGGUAUCAGAGCGGCAAUCUUGGAAUUGCUGACUCUAGUUUCAAACCCCCGCCGCCGCUAUGGGGGUUGAUGAUUUUUUCAACCAUCAUGGAGGUAGCACCAUCGACUCCUUCUCUCAUUCUCAACUAACCAUCGUUGAGUUGAGUGCCCAGAUGGCUCCGCUCCUACAGAUGCAGACUUUGACCCCAAACCCGAUCCAGAAUCAGGAUCUUCUUUCGACAACCACGACCCCGAUCUCGACUAUGACAACGACGACCCCGACCCCUACUCUGAAGAUGACCCCGACCCCCACUCCGAUGACCCCAACCCCGAAUUUGUCUCUGAUUCAGAACCCGAUCCCGAUUUCGACUCCGACUCCGGCCUCGACUCAGGCUCAGAUUUCGAUCCAAAUUCCUACUCAACUUAUAUCCUAUGCAUCUUCCGCUGCACAGAUUAUGACUUCUAGACUAACGACCCCGACAUAUGGACCAGAUUGCACAUAUUGUGGUGAUCCGAGACACACUUGUGAGACUUGUUUUAAAUCGCAUGGCUACCCCGAUUGGUGGGCUAUUCUUACAGAUCAAGGACAAUGCACCAGUAAUGGUACUGGUUAUGGAUUCCAUACUUCCGAUAAGAUUGAUUCCAGGAGCUGGAUAAUUGAUUCUGGUGCAACUGAUCAUAUGACGUUUGAUCCUGAUGAUUUUCUGAAUACUACACAACCUCGACGAACUUGUAUUGCAAAUGCCAAUGGUGUUACUUAUCCUGUGACAGGGGCUGGCACUGUUGCACUCUCAUCCUCUCUCACACUGUCUAAUACUUUACUUGUUCCAUUUUUAUCCACUAAAUUGUUGUUAGUUAGUCAGCUUACUAAACAAUUGAAGUGUUGUGUACUCAUUUACCUGAGUUUUUGUUUGCUUCAGGAUAUUCACACUAAGGAGAUUCUUGGUCGUGGUACUAAGAGAGGGGGGCUAUAUUAUGUCGAUGACUUCAGUUCCGGCGUGCCUAACAGUGUGACACAUCCCUUUGAUAGCAAACAAAAGCAAAUUUGGUUGUGGCACCUUCGAUUGGGACAUCCGUCUUUCAGUUAUAUGAAGCAUCUUAUACCAGAUUUAUUCUUAGGUUUCAAGGACUCCGACUUCACAUGUGAUACUUGUAUUUUGGCUAACAGUCACCGUGUGCCCUACCUGUUGAGUACGAACAAGUGUACUUGUAAGAUCCCACAUCAACCAACGGAGAGGGGGUGAUGUGCCUUAUAUAUGCACACCUGCAUCCAUCUAGCACGAGGCCUUUUGGGAGCUCACUGGCUUCGGAGUCGUAGGAACUCCGAAGUUAAGCGAGUUGGGGGCUAGAGCAAUCCCAGGAUGGGUGAUCCACUGGGAAGUUGCUCGUGAGCUCCUAGAAACAAAACCGUGAGGGCAGAGAGAGGGGCCCAAAGCGGACAAUAUCGUGCUACGGCGGAGUUGAUCCCGAGAUGUGACAAUUUGGUAUCAGAGCCACUCUGCCGUGUGGUGCGAAUGUGCCGACGAGGACUUCGGGCCCUUAAGGGGGGUGGAUUGUAAGAUCCCACAUCAACCAACGGAGAGGGGGUGAUGUGCCUUAUAUAUGCACACCUGCAUCCAUCUAGCAUGAGACCUUUUGGGAGCUCACUGGCUUCGGAGUUGUAGGAACUCCGACGUUAAGCGAGUUGGGGGCUAGAGCAAUCCCAGGAUGGGUGACCCACUGGGAAGUUGCUCGUGAGUUCCCAGAAACAAAACCGUGAGGGCCAGAGAGGGGGGCCCAAAGCUGAUAAUAUCGUGCUACGGCGGAGCCGAUCCCGGGAUGUGACAAUUGUACUACUCCAUUUACGUUAAUUCACUCUGAUGUCUUGGGACCUUCGCCUAUCACUGCUCCUUCUGGUGUUCGAUGGUUUGUCACAUUCAUCGAUGAUUGUAUACAGAUGACAUGGCUUUAUUUGCUGAAGAAUAAAAACGAAGUGUUUUCCCGUUUUCAGUCCUUCCACAAACAGAUGAAAACUCAGUUUAAUGCUCAAAUCCAGAUUCUUCGCUCAGACAAUGGUGGAGAAUUUGUCAAUCAUGACUUUCAGACUUACUUCCAACAACAUGGAAUUAUCCAUGAGACGACUUGUCCUCAGACACCACAACAAAAUUGUGUUGUUGAACGAAAGAAUUGACAUCUUCUUGAAACCGCCCAAGCACUUCUGAUUGGCGCUCAUGUUCCUCGCUAUCACUGGGAUGAUGCUAUUGUCACCGCAGUUCACCUGAUCAACCGCAUGCCUUCUGGUGUAUUGACCUUUAAAACUCCCUUACAGGUGCUUGCGCAACACAGACCUCUGCUCUCUGUUUUGGUACUCACACCCCGAAUCUUUGGAUGUGUGGCUUUCGUUCAUCUCCACAAAAAUCAACGUAGCAAACUUGAUCCCUGUGCGCUUCGUUGUGUUUUUAUAGGUUAUGCCACUCAUCAGAAAGGCUACCGUUGUUAUCACCCUCCUACCCAACGAACCUAUGUCACUUUGGAUGUGACCUUUCUGGAAUCUGAGUUGUUCUUCCAUGACCCAUCAUCCAAUUCUACGCAUCAGGGGGGGAUACGAAGUGAAGAGCAGAAUUGAAGCAACUUGGGAAAUAAAGAAAUUUUCCUCUGUACAGAAAUGAUUAAUCAUCCUGAGUCUGGAGCACGAGAUUACUCUCUGUCGAAAAGCAACCAAUCGCCCAUUCAUAGCGAUCAAUUGCCUCACCUACCUGAUCCAUGUGAAGAUAUUUUUGAUCCGAGUCUCACACCUACAGACAAUACAGAACAACAAGAUGAAGACUCCCCCUCUAACUCAACAGUACCAACAGACCAAUCUCCUGAGAAUAUCCUUGAGGUAACUACUCCUACUAGAUUUGUGCAUUUAAAUGAUUAAACUAUUGGAUAUCAAUUACCUUUCAGGGAAAAUCGUGGGAAGCCAUCAAACCGUUAUGCACCUGAUAUUGGCAAGACAUCCAAGUAUCCAAUUGCAAAUCAUGUAUCCACUGAGAAGCUGUCUGAACAACUCAAGGCUUUUGUGCAUCAGUUGUCUGCGAUCCAUAUUCCAACCAAGGUCUCUGAAGCAUUAAAAUAUCCUAAGUGGGUCCAAGCUAUAAAAGAGGAGAUGAAAGCUCUUGAGAAAAAUCAGACUUGGACAUUAGAGACUAUACCUCGAGGAAAAAAGACUAUCAGAUGUAGAUGGGUGUUUACUAUAAAACACAAUGUAGAUGGAUCUAUCGAGCAAUACAAGGCAAGACUUGUGGAAAAAGGGUACACACAGACAUAUGGUAUAGACUAUGAAGAAACCUUUGCUCCAGUUGCAAAGUCAAACACCAUCAGAGUCUUAUUGUCCCUUGCAGCUAAUUUGGAUUGGCCACUACACCAGUUUGAUGUAAAGAAUGCUUUUCUACAUGGCGUACUCACGGAGGAGGUGUACAUUUACAUUCCUCCUGGAUAUAAUACUACUUAGACUGGAACAGUUUGCAGGUUACGAAAAGCAUUGUAUGGAUUGAAACAGUCACCACGUGCAUGGUUUGGACAGUUCACCAUGGCAAUGAAGAACAAUGGUUCAAACAGUGCAACUCAGAUCAUACUCUACUCUUGAAACAUCGAAAAGGGAAGGUAACAACAUUAAUAAUCUAUGUUGAUGAUAUGAUUAUUACUGGGAAUGAUAAACAGGAAAUAUCACAGCUACAAGACUAUCUGGCUACGGAGUUUGAGAUGAUGGAUCUAGGUGGACUCAAGUAUUUCUUGGGAAUUGAGGUGGCUCGAUCCCAGCAAGGCAUAUUUCUCUCUCAAAGGAAAUAUGUCUUGGACUUGUUGACAGACACAUGAAUGCUAGAUUGUAAACCUGCGAACACUCAUAUUGUUCAGAAUCAUCAUCUUGGAGAAUAUCAUGAUCAAGUUCCAACUAACAAAGAAAGAUACCAAAGGUUAGUAGGAAGAUUGAUCUAUUUGUCACAUACUUGACCAAACAUUACUUAUGCAAUGAGCGUUGUCAGUCAAUUUAUGCACUCUCCAAGUGAAGACCACACGAAUGCAGUUCUUCGGAUACUUAGAUAUUUGAAGUCUGCACCUGAAAAAGGACUUAUUUUCUGAAAGCAUGGUCAUAUAAAUAUUGAUGGUUAUUCAGAUGUAAUGUAACAGAUAGAAAAUCCACAUCCGGUUACUUAACAUUCAUGGGAGGUAAUUUGGUGACAUGGAGGAGCAAGAAACAGAAUGUAGUAGCUUUAUCCAGUGCAGAAGCCGAGUUCAGAGGCAUGACUAAAGGAAUUUGUGAACUUCUUUGGUUAAGAAAGUUGCUUACUGAACUUGGGUAUAAACCUACAUCCACAAUGAUUCUCUUUUGUGACAACAAGGCUGUUAUAGCCAUUGCACAGAAUCCGGUUCAGCAUGAUCGUACUAAACAUGUUGAGGAGGAUCGACACUUCAUCAAACAGAAGCUUGAGGCUAAAAUGUUUCAGUUUUCUUUUGUGAAAUCCGAGGAUCAAUUGGCGGAUAUUUUGACAAAGGUGAUUUCCAGUAAAACAUUCCACAAUUCACUGGAUCAGUUAGGCAUUGGCGAUAUCUAUGCACCAACGUGAGGGGAAGUGUUGGCGUGACUUGUGGAUAUUGACUUACUUUCCUUACACACCAAGAAUUCCUAUUAUAAUUGUAAUUGAUUUACUUUAAUUCCUGAUUUCCUAUUGUAAAUAGAUUUAGGAAUUUAUUAUUUACUUGCCCAUUCAGGUUUCGUUGUAUUAUAAAUAUGACCUCCUACAAGGAGAAUAACAUACAGAAAAUUCCCACAAACAAAUAUUCUCUUAUAGUUUUCAUAUUUUAGCAAGAACUACUCGAGAGUUUACUAAAAGAGUAGUUCAGUAUUCAUCCACAAGCUAUAUACACAAUACACUCUAUAGAUAUGCCAAAAUCAUCGCAAGCUCUAGAUUUUAGGUUCGAUACCUGCAAAAUCUAUUAGAAGGGUGAGUGAAACCACAGUUUAGUAGGGACAUAAACCUUUUCACGGUAAACUGAUAUAAUUAAAUUAAGUGAAAAAUAAUCACACAGCCAAAUAUCACAUUAUUAAUAACAAUGCAUGAAUGCUCUUCAUUUAACCCGUUAAUUCAUAUAAUUAGACAAGCUUCACGACCCAUACCAUGCUUAUACCACUUAGUCCCGAAUGCCAAUUUAUAUGAAUUAACGCCCAUUUCAAUCAUCCCAUAAUUCCCAUUUUGUUAGUCAUCUUGUCUAACUCCCUGUUGCCAGUCCUGAAUCACCAAAAAAAAAAAACCAUGUGCACUAUGGGAUCCCUGAGUACUAGUACCUGGCAAGAGUUAGACUCAACUACACAAAAGAUCAUUUCUAUUACCCUCUUAUCCACCAUUAUUUUCUCAACUUCAGAAUUCUAGCCAAAUUCCAUGACAUGAUAUAAUUAAAAUUAUGCCUUCACAACAAUGUGCCCAUUUAAAACAUCACUAAUGCACAUAUAAUUAUGCCCACAUUGUUCAAAUAGUUAAGAGUACGUAAAUACCCAAUACAUGGAACGUCAAUCAAACAGUACCACGCAUAAUAUAAUGCUCAAGAAAUUUAAUUAAAUCAAUCUCUGUAAAAGGCCCCUAAGAAACCCCUGCCUUGAUACUAAAGCUUUUGCUAGACCUAUAAGGUGUUUUCCAAUUUUCCACCGCAUUCACAAACUCUGUCUUCUACUUUUUUUCUUACUUCUCUCUACCACUAUUUCUUUCUCGUUUUCUUUGUUUUCACUUGUUGUGCAACUUAAUGUCCUAUAUAUAUACAAGGAACAAGUCGGCAGUAAGUGAUUUCCUAUUGGAUGGUGUAUUCGGUUGUUAUAAACUUACUAGUAAUAGUUAUCAAUGUAGUUGCAGAUGAGGAAGAAUGUUUUUGUGACUCUUCCAAUCCCUCUAAUCCUAUUUCUUAUCUUCUUGGUGAGUUGAUAGCCUCGAUACUUAACAGAUUUUAUACUUUGACACGUAUUAACAAGAACUAUUUUAAAAACAUAUACAUAUAUAUAUAUAUAAUAGAAUAUGUAUAUAUGUAAUACACAUAUUUAUAUAUAAUAAGAAUAAUAUAUAUGUAAUAAGAUAUAAAUAUUUAUUAGAACAGUAUAUAAAAUAAUAUAUAUCAUUCUUAUUAUAACAAUAAUUUUAAUUUUCCCAAAAUAAUAUAUAUUUAAAAAUAUGUGGUUUCACAUGCAUGUCCUUUUUGCUAUAGACACUAUUACAAAAAUCGAAAUAGACAACGGAAAACUACCGUCGUCUGGAAAGUUUUCAAACAGUCGUGAAAUCGACUGUCGUCUCUUUUACAUAAAACAACGACGGCUAUUAACCAACGUCGUUAAUACAUUCCACGUAAAAAACUAUUAUAAACCGACGUGUAAUUACUAUAUAUAUAGCCUAAAAUAAAAUCUUCAACAACCUUAGACGACGGUUUUAUUAAAACUGACACGUCUAAAGAGUGUUACAUGUCAAGAUCAAAACAAGAACCGACGUACAGAUAAUUAUCCACGUCCUAAUUGAAGUAAAAUAGACUUGGAUAACCUAGAAACCGUCGUGGUUAACAUAUACUACGUUAAAUUAACAAAGGCACUUACGUCUAAAAAGUAAAAGACAACACGCGCACAAAGCAACAGACGUUUAAAGCUUAGUACAUGUCAAUAGCCGCUCAAUAACCGCAGUAAAAUGAAUUAACCACGUCCCACAUAUGGCAGAACUGUUGCUUAUGUGAUUAUCCACGUCGCGGAGUAGUAGAACAAAGACGUUGUAACCAUAUUCCACGUCUGUUUCUUGUGAGAAUUGUCGUUUAAAUUAUACAAAGAAGCCCCUUUGACAGAGUUAGACGUUGCUCUUGCUGUAGAACCGACUUCUAACAGGUUUAAAAUGACACAAUAUUACUUAAUACUGCCGUAACAAAUCAUAUCCACGACUGCUGUUGUCAAAGACUGACGUUACAAAAAAUAUUGAAGGUGUUGACAAAAAAGAACCGACAUGGAUUAUGCAUUCAACGUCGUGUGGUCUAAAAAUAAAGGACGUGGUUAAUUUUUUCUCUACGUCAAGUGGAUCCAAUUGCCUGAUGUUGUAAUUCUUUACCAUGUUGGUUUUUAAUACAUGAUGAUGUGGUUGUCCUUUUAAAAGUCGCUUGUUUUACCCUCCUUGACGUGUGUAUGAUAUGAGACGUCAAUUGUUUUAGACUAGCUGACGUGCAGAAAAUCUGUCACGACAAUUAAUGCAACUGAAUUGCCUCUAUUUCCCCCAGACGACGGUAGGUUUUAAGUGUGGAAGUAGUGUUUUACAAAAUCGUAAGUUGGAGUAAUCUACCAUCGUGUUAUUCGAGAAUAUACCACGAUCUUUGUUUUGUACUCGGUCGCUGAUGUUUAUACUACUUAAUAAACUGACAUGUUUUCAGUUUCAGACGGCGGCUUUUGUUUCUUUAUGGUCUUUUGCAUUUUUUUUCCAUGACAUUUUUGAAAGCCUAAUGUUGGUUUUAUUUUAGAAAUCGAUUUUUCCCCUUUUUUUACUGGACCGUCGUACUUUACACAUUUAAUCAAUUUUUUUCAAUUUUUGAUUCAUCGUGCCCAAAGCCUACAUAACGAAAAUGUGAUCAGAAUUAAAAUGAUGUACAAAGGUAUUAAUUAAUGUCAUACAAUUAACUGAAUAACUAAUGUCAUACACUACAACAAUCAAUCAAUCCAUAUAUCUUCACACCCAUCUUUAAUAUUUUCACUCCCAAACUCACCCACUAGGUCAUCAUAUGUGUCAACAUUUGGUAUCCCUCUAGUAAAUGUCUCACACUCAAUUCUAAUAUCACCUAGCACAUCAUCACCAAUAACAUUAUUAUAUUCUCUAUUAUGCAUUGAUAACACUACCGACCAACCACGAUGCAUUGGGUCGUCAGCAUAAAAUACUUGUUUUGGUCAUUCCUAUGUCCAAUUUUACUCAAAUCUACAAAGGUGAAUCCAAGUUCAUCGACAACAAGGCCCAAAGUGUUAUCUAUCCAAUCACACCUCAAGACAAGGAUUCUAAACUUUUGGUAGUCAAGGUCCCAAAUUUCUUGAAUAACACCAUAAAAACCCAUAUUGGAGACAAUAGAGUUUUUAUCCUUAGCACUAGCAACUUGCAUAGUAUGUGCAAGUAAAUAAACUCCACUAUUUUGGACAGUUCGCAUAUCAUCUUGUGCCUUGGUGUUAAAUUUAACACCAUUAAUAAGAUAGCUCCUAUAUGAUGGCAUUGCCAUGCUUGGACUAGCUGCUAGCCACCUCAAAUUUUAUGAUACGCCAUUAUGCUCUUCCCCAUUAAGUUCACUUUGAACUUGCAAAUUAAUCGUAUAUAUCCUAAUUCGAUCUAACAUAUAAAAAGGAAGAAAAUUAAAAGUUGAAUAUGUCAUUCAAUAACAUAUAUACUUGAAAGUGUAGCCAUUGAAUGAAAGUGCUAUUGUGCUUAUCUUGCAGCCACUUUGUUCUCUUUCUAAAUAUUGGAUAAGUGGUCUUGAUGUGGAUCAUAUGUUCCAUACAUUGACACGAAAAAAUCAAGCAUUACGGUCCCUUGUAUAUAAGAUAACAUAAGGAAUAAUAAUAUUUAAAAUGGCUCUAUAUGAAAAAUGGAACUCAUGCGUACUCGAUAUAAGGUAGGACUUCCUCAGUAUUCUCCAAGACAUAUAGAUGUGUCUGGUUCAAAAAACCCGAUCACCUAAGCUUACUGUGCAACCAGAUAAUGGCUUUGAAACUCCCAUCUUCUAGCUUGAAGGCACUCCAACUGUACUAACAUCAGAUAAAUGCUCGGUGCAAAACUCUACAACUUCUUCAGCUAUAUACCGCUCAAUAAUGCAACAUCCGGGACGAGUACGGUUCUGAACAAACCUAUUUAGCACUUUCAUAUGUCUUUCAAAUGGAUACAUCCAUCUAAAAUAUACUGGCCCAUGUAGACGAACUUCUCUGACAAGAUGUACUACUAGAUGAACCAUGAUAUCAAAGAAUGAAGGGGGAAAGUACUUCUCAAGCAAACGCAACGUAACUACUACAUCUUCUUCCAAAUUAUCUAGCUUGGAAACAUCUACUGUCUUUGCACAUAUAGCAUUGAAGAAGAAGCACAAUCGAGUUAUUGCAUACCUUGCAGGCUUCUCCAAACAGAACGAAUUGCCACAGGGAGCAAUUGUUGCAUCAAGGCAUGAAAAUUAUGAGAUUUAAGGCCAAGAAGUCUUGAAUAUUUUUAAGAUACAAGAUUUUUUUAUAUUUGAACAAUAACCUUCAGGGACUUUCAUACCAUAGAAAGAAUUGCAAACCGCUCUCUUAUCUGCUCUUGACAAAUUCUAGGGCCUUGGAGGCAAGCGAGUACGUCUUUCUCAAUACUCGGGUUGCAAAUCAUUUUUGACCCCCAUGUUCAAUAAAUCUAACCGAACAGCAAUCUCAUCUUUAUUUUUUCUAGGGAUCUCCAGCAAUGUACCAAUGAUACUAUCGCAAACAUUCUUCUCAAUAUGCAUAACAUCUUGGACAUGCCUCAUAGGAAGGUAUUUCAAAUACUCGAGAUCAAAGAAUUUUGAUUUCUUAUUCCAACAAACUCUGUCACCAUCAUUCUCAAAAACACUUCCCCCAUUUUUCGAGCCCCAUAUGUAAUUAAUAUCUUCAACCAUGUCCUAUUCAAGUUAAUGGUUCGGGAGGCGUGCCAUAUUCAAGUUUUCCAUUGAAAGCUGCACGCUACCUCCGACAUGGAUGAUUGAUUGGUAACCAUUUUUUAUGACCAAUGUAACAAAUUUUGGGGCCAUUUUCAACCUGUGACUAGGUGUAUCAUCGCCGCAUAUUGGACAAGCUUUAUAUCCUUUAACGACACUGUAACACCCCGACUCUAAAUUAAUCCCUUAUUUAAUUAUUUAAAGAAAAUUACAAAUUUACCCUUAAGAUAGGGGUAUUUUGGUCAUUUUCUUACCCGAAGAGAGUUUGGGGCAGUGACUAGUAUUUUUGGAUAGGUCGUACUGAGACGAGUUCAUAGACACGUAGUGGGCUCGAAUCGAAGUUGUAACGAGAGAGAUAUGGUCAAAAGAAACCCAAUUGCACAAUCAUAAUUAUUUCGAAAUGAGAUUUUUAUAAAAAUCAGAUUUUUUUUUCUCUCUCUCUCUCUCUCCUCGUCGGUCUCUCUCCCUCUCCUCGAAACUCCGGCCAUCGGCCACGGCUGUGGACGGGGCCGGUACCAAAAUGACCGAGGCGUUGUCCUCCUCUAAUCCCAGCUAGGUCCCGCCGUCAGCCGCCAUGGUUUCGCCGGAAAAUGGAGAAGAAGCGGCCGGCGUCGUCCGAAGUUCUCCGCCGUUGAUCUCCCUCUUCCGGUCACCGAUUCCGACGAGUGAGGUAUGGUUUCUCACCUACUUUUCAUGCUCUAGCUGCCUGCUGGGUAUGAUUGGAUUGAUUUUUAGCGUAGGCAAUUCGAUUUUCGCAUUGAAAUUCGGCUAAUUUUGGAAUCACGAUUCCGGCUAGUUCUGGUCAGUUUUUGGGGUAGAUCCAAGAACAAAAGUGGCUCCAAAUAGGGUGUUAUACCUAGGGUAGGAGUUUGGAGCCAUGGUUUUGAGAUUUUCCGGCGAUACGUAAUCGCUUUAGACACCCAACGCUGCCCGCACGUGUGGCAGUGCGUGGGCGAGGGUAGUGAAAUAGCACUAUGUCUCGAUGAGAUCCUUAGGUUGUCACGAGUGCGUAGGAUUUCGCGGAUCUCAAUUCGGACGUCGUUUGACUAUCGAACGGAUUUUCGUAUAUUGCGCGUCAUCCGGGUUCGAUAGGUUGGGACCGUUGGAUGGUCUCGAAUAAAAUAUAUGUUAAUCUAGGUAUUUCUAGGAUCAUGUAGGAAUUCACGGAUUAUAAAUCGGAGCCCCGGAUAUUCCGAAUAAAUAAUUUAAAGUUUAUGUUUUAUAAUAACCGUCACAUCGUGCGAUCGUGAGCGAUCCGACCGGCCGAUCUGGACCAAACUUACAGAACGAGUGUCCUAUACCUUGAAGAACCCAUAGGAAUUUUCAGAUCGAAAUUUGGAGGUCGUGGGCCCCGUGGGCCCAUUUGACUAGGGGUAGGGUAGUUUGACCCUUAGUUGACCGUGAGUCUCCCGGAGUAAUCUCACCUUUCCAGGGGGAUUAUCGGGUGCUAGACUGUUGUUGAGGUUUACACGAUAUUAGUAGUAAAUUAUAUAUUUAUAUACAUUUGUAAAGGUAAAAAAUAAGUCCAGAAUGUCAGUUUGAAGUGCUUUACGCACUACCUUAGGUACCUCCCCGGAUUUUAGUUACACUACAAGUACCACCCUAUGAAAGUUAGGUCCCACGUGGCGUAGGUUAUCCGGCGUGCGGACAGGCCCUAUACGUGGCAUUGGUAGUAUCGGUGUAUGGGGAGAUUACGUGAUAAUAUGUUGAGGUCACACGUGGCGUAGGUUAUCCGGCGUGUUGACAGACCCCAUACGUGGCGUUGGUUGUACCGGCGUAUGAGGAGAUAUUGUGAUAUGAUAUUCAGGUCUCGCGUGGCGUAGGUUAUCCAGCGUUGAGACAGACCCCAUACGUGGCGUUGGUUCUACCGGCGUAUAAGGAGUUUAUGUGAUAUUAUGUUGAAGUCGCGCGUGGCGUAGGUUAUCCGGUGUGUCGACAGACCCCAUACGUGGUGUUGGUUGUACCGGCGUAUGGGGAGAUAUGUGAUAUGAUGUGCAGGUCUCGCGUGGCGUAGGUUAUCCGGCGUUGAGACAGACCCCAUAUGUGGCGUUAGUUGUACCGGCGUAUGGGAAGAUAUUGUGAUAUGAUAUUCAGGUCUCGGGUGGCGUAGGUUAUCCGGCGUGUUGACAGGCCCCAUACGUGGCGUUGGUAGUACCGGUAUAUGGGGAGAUUAUGUGAAAUACAGAGAAAUGAAAUAAGGUAUUGCCUAUGUGUGGAAUUGGGUUUUAAGGAAGAACUACGUGUGGCUUGAUCCCUCAGGGAGGGUACGUAGGCAGCCUAAGGUUAUUAGGUGUAGCCGCGGACAUAGACGUGAUUGUGUUAGGAGGUUAAAACCUCGUAUGUUGAAAUUGAGAAAAUUAGAUGAUGUAUGUUGAAAUUUAGUAGUCGUAAUUUAUAUUUAAAUUUAUCGUUUGCCUUGUUUAAGGCAUGAAUUGAUUUGCUAGCAUGCUUGGUAGUUGAGAAUUAUAGAAAGGCCGAAGGCCGUUUAUGUGAAUUGCAUGGAAUUAUAUUGUGCAUGCUGCCAGUUGUAGUUAUUAAAUGUGUUUUUAUGCAGGUUGAAAUUUUGGGAAAUGUCCAAUUUACAGGGGAGACUCUGCCGAAAUUUCGGCAGAAAGUCUCGGUCUUUAGUAAGUGGGCCUGACAUCGAGGUGAUGUCGGGGAAUCCACAGGAUCCGCCUCGAUUUUUGGAAAAAUCGGGGCGGUUCCUUUCAGACACAACCAGAUAAGUUCUCAUAGGCAGAAAAAUCAUUAAUUGUUCACAGUAAUACACCUAUGAGUGUAAAGUAAUCUCCUAUGUGUGCAUCAUACACUCCUUUAAUCCCAUCCCACAAAGAUUUUAAAUCAUCAAUCAGAGGCUCUAAGUAGACAUCUAUAUCAUUUCCAUUCUAUUUAGGACCAGAAAUCAAUAAGGUCAAUAUCAUGAACUUCCAUUUCAUGCAUAGCCAUGGUGGGAGAUUAUAUGUAACUAAGAUAACCAACAAUUGUAUCUGCUACUUAAAGAACUGUGGGGAUUGAAUCCAUCAGAUGAGAGAGCCAAUCUCAAGUUUCUUGGCUCUUUACUGAACUCGGGCCAUUUAUCAUCAACAAGUUUUUAAGACGGGAAAUUCGCUGGAUGAGACAUAUGACCGUCAAUUGCUUUUCUAGCAACAUGCCAAGUCAAACUCUUAGCUGUCAUAUGUGAUUGAAACAUCCUUUUAAACCUUGGAAUUGGAGGAAAAUACCACACCACCUUCGCUGGCACACUCUUUUUCAAGAUUGAAUCUUUGCAUUCCUUCCACCUUGAGAUACCACAAGUAGGACAAUUAGUUGAAUCUUCAUAAUCAUUCCUAUACAAGAUGCAGUCAUUGGGACAUGCAUGGAUAUUCUCAUAACUCAUCCCUAAAGGAGAUAAUGUCUUUUUUGCCUCGUACAUAGAGGAAUAUAGUGUCUUUCCUUCUGGAAGCAAAUCUCCUUGAAGUAUCAAUAAUUCUAUAAAACAAACAUCACUCAUCCCAUGUUUUGCUUUCAAAUUAUAUAACUUCACCAAAGCCGACAACAUCGUGUACUUACUGCAACCAGGGUACAAGGAUUGAUCUCAAUCCCCAAUCACAUUGGCAAACUCAUAAGGAUCAAAUCCAAUAUCGCCUAAAUCAUUAUCAUCCAUCCCUACUUCUUUAGAAACAAAACUGAACCUACUUUGCUCAUCUUCUUCCACAUUUCUACUAGCAUUAGUAGUCAAUUCCCAAGGUUCUCCGUGCCAUGUGCAAAUCUGAUAGCUUUAGUCAAUUCCAUUAAAGUAUAAGUGGUCCCUCAUAAUUCCAACCCCAAACAAUCGAAUAUUCCCACAUUUAACACAUGGACAACGAAUAUGAGUUGUAUUUCCAAGAUUUUCUACAGCAAAAUUCAAAAAUCCUUCCACCCCUAACUCAUAUGCCUUCGGUCUUCUAUCCGCAUGCAUCCAUGACUUAUCCAUCUCACACACUAUAAAAUCAUAUAUAUAAUAAAGUGAAAAGACCAGCAAUGAAACACUACUUUAUUCACAUAGCAAAGAAUGAAUUGAAAAAAAAAAUUAACCAAGAAUCAGACGACGGUUUUUACAAAAAAAAUCGUCCUGUAACAGAGGGUCAGACGACGGCAUAUCUAGUUAUCGACGUCUUUAAGCUACCCAAACCCAGAUAUUUGUAUUGCUUUUUGAAGAACCGGGUUCUGGGUUCUGGUAAACAAAAGAUGACGGUAAAUGGAGAAACACCGACGUAUCCUAAAACUUGAGACGACGGUUUAUUUCACCAACCGUCGUCGUAGUUUACGAAAAACAGAAGUCUAAAUCUCCCAUCCUCAUUCCUUUUCUAAGAACCCUUAACAAAAUGCAAACAUCAAAAUAUAAAAGAGCCAUAUAUAGCUCCCAAUUAAGAAACCAAAGCUACCAAAACAUAUAUUAAUAAACCAAAGCUACCAAAAUGAACGAAAACAUUUAUGGGUUUUACAAACUAAGAGAAUAUUGAGAGAGAGCUGAGAGAAUAUACUUACAUGGAUAUUGAGAGAGAGCUGAGAGAAUAUAACAAAUGCUUGAGAGAGAGCUUAGAGAAUAUACACAAUGCUUUGAGAGAGAGCGAAAAAUUUAAGACAAAUUUAUGUUGAAGAGAGAGAAGGAAAUAUUUUAGGGUUAAAGGGAAAUUCUGAAAAUUUUAGAUCACCGUCAAAAUUUUCAAAGGACCGCGUUUUUCAAAGACGGCUAAGGAAAACUACCGCCAUUGUAAAUCAUUUUACUACGACGGUUGAGGAAAACUACCGCCAUUGUAAAUCAUUUUUAUGUCGCCUCUAUAAAAACCGACGUCUAAAAUAUUAAAUAAUUAGAUUUGGUUUGCAUUUCGUGGGAUUCUAACGUGCGUAAUUGACCAAAAAGAGCGAGAGAAAACCAGCGUCGUUUCUAUAAAACCUAAACCCUAAACCCUAAACCCUAAACUCUAAAACCUAAACACUGAAAAAAUUAACCAAAAAUUGCUAUGGACUCCUUACAACAAUGCCUUCUAUAUUAGUAGGCUAAAAUCGGGAUUAAAUAAUUUUGAAUUUUAUGACCACCAAUGGAUCACAUAAACCUUAGGGUUAUGUUUAUGGAAAGUAUAAGGAUUAUUGUGUUUUGUCUCUAAAUCUUUUUUACUUUUGUUAUCACUUGUAACUUUGAAAUCUAAAAUUAAAAUUUUCAGGCCUUUAGGGGGGAGAUAUUGUCUCAAUGUGUUUAUAGAAUUUGAGACUGCGAAGGUUCUAGCUGAUUGACUAAGGAUGAGGCAGGAUGGAUGGAAGGUUUGCUUGGAGAUUCUACCUUUGUCAGCUCUUCUGGUUGACAUGUUGUUUAUUCUGCCUGAGGAACUACUUCUAGAUUUUUCCCUUUUCUAGCAGAACUAGUCUCUGGAAGUACUUGUGUGUCAUCCUUAUUCUUGAGGAAGACGCAGUAUUGCCUUUGAACUCUCCUCUUUUGCAUUCUGGUUAGCUUCAGAGUUGGUCUUCGGCUUUUUCCAAUAGAAUAUCAUCUACCUUCUAUGAUAGUUGCAAAGGGCUUGUCAUUUCCAGGCAUCUUAACUGGUAUUUCCUUCUUUGGCUGCUCUAUUAUUCUCUUGUUGCGUUGGGCAGGCCUUAAAUAGUCCUUCUGUCUGGCUCUAUCUCUAGGUGGAGCCGGAACUAGGCCUUGUUGGUAUGAUGUUCCAAUCCUGUCAAAAACACAAGGUGUGGGCUGACUUUGCCUAACCAGAGUUACCUCUAACUCACUUUCACAUUUGCACCUGUUGCACAAAACUACCCCAGCCGAAAUGGUUGCUUUUGGUCUUCAAUUAGCCUAUCUUUGGACUCUUCUGCCUAUGCUGGGGCUAACUUUUGCUGUUAGUUUGCCUUUCUUUUGUUUUGGCCAAUUUAAGUUGACCAUGUUGACUUGAGGUUGGGGAAAAGGGUCUGUUGUUAUCGAAUGAGGUUUCUCAGCCAGUUUUAGCCUCCAUGCUGUUAUUCCUUCCUGUAUGACGUCCCUGAAAACAACACAACUAUUGGUGGAAUGGUCCCAGGAGUUAUGCCAUCUGCAAUACUGUCUGCCCUUGAGUUCCUCUAGCUUGGGCAACUUGUAGGGUGUUUCUAUUGCCUUCUGUCGCAGCAUGUCAUCAAACAGGGCAUCAACCUUGGUUAAAUCGAGGGAAUAGACUUUGUUAUGAGCUGGUUUGUUUGGAACAAACCCUCUUGUGAAUGGUGGUGGCUUUUGGUCCUUUGGUGGCUUUGUUAAAGCCUUGCAACUGAUGAGAUGUUUUAAUUUCCCCAUUUCUGCCACUGCAACUUCUCUCUCCUCCGAGCUUUCUAUGCCUUCUUCUGAUUCUACCUCAACAAGAUUUACUGAAGAGGAUGGGGUUUUGUAAUAUGUGCCUUUGAAAGAGUUCCUCUUCUAUUGUUCUUCCCUGAGCAGCUCCUUGUAUUUAGAUGCUUUGUCUGCUAGUUCUGCCAGAUCUCCAAACAGCAUCCCAUCAAAUUUUUUUCUCAGAGAGAUUUUAAGGGAGAUUUGAGCCAUUUGGAUGAAGUGCCCUUCCUCCAUAGGGAUUCAAAAUUUCAUUUUGAGCUUUUUGAACCUGGUUAUGAAGUCUUGGGCAGGCUCAUCUUCCCUCUAUUUCCAGGUUUGAGGGCAGCAAGAUCACUGAUGGUGACUUCUGGCUGAAUCCUAAAAUAGUAGUCAUGGAAGACAUUUUCCAUCUAUUUCCAGGUUUGAACAGAAUUGGCUGGUAAGCUAGUAUAUUAGAUGAAGGCUUGUCCAGAGAGAGAAUUUCGAAAAAGCCUUAGUUUUAACAGAAGGUUAUUUUCUAUGGCUAUGCACUGGAAAGAGAAUCUGCCUAUAUGCUUAACUGAUGAAGCAUGGGUGUCUUCUCCGUUGAACAAGGUGAAGUGUGGUACCUUAAAGCCCAGGGAUAGAGGUAUUUGAUCGAUAUAAGCUGGAUAAGGCUUUCUGUAGGUGGGCCUUUCUCCUCUUCUGGCCUCAGGUUCCAUCAUCUCUCUGAUCAUUCUAUAAAGUGCCCCCAUGUCAUUCAAAGCAUUGACAUGAUGCGGGGUUCGCCCCUGUUCUGGCUAGUUGUGUUCAAUCCUUUGUUCUACUUUAUAUGGCCUGGGCAGAACUUCCUCCCUAUGCUCUUCCUCUUUUUCGAAAUCUGGAUGAUUCCUUUAGUUUGCCCCCGGUCUGUUUUUGUCAUUGUUGGCAAAGGGUUUAACUCCUACUCUACCUCUCAUGCCACUUGCUAGUGGAGGGAAUGGAUUGGGGUCCAUCCUUCUAGGUCUGUAGGGCAACACAACUGGUUGCUCAGGCAGAAGUGCCAAGGCCUGAUCACGUGGGGCCACUAGUUGUGGAAUAGGUGGAGGUUCUGGCUAGUUCUGAGGGGGUCUGAACUGGUGCAGAGCCUUCUGGAUGAACUGAAUCCUCAUGUUCUUGGAUGGGAAGGGCUCCUCCCCUCUGUCCAGCUUGGAUUUCUCCAUGUCCUGGUAUUCCAGCUAUCUGUGUGAUGAGAGGCUUCUCUUCAUAUGGCCAUGCCAGUCCUGGUAGAGGUCCAAAAGGGAGAUCUAGCUGCUGGACCACCAUGUCUAGGUUUGGAAUUUUGGCAAUAGUAGCCUCACGGUCCUUCCUGAACUGCCUGUUGACUUGCCAUUACAUCAUGGUUGUCAUGUUGUUUAGAGUAUCUUGGCUCAUUUGUGCUGUGGCUUCUUGCCGAAACACAGCCUCCUGUAUCUAGUUUAACCUUCUGGAACCAGACAUGGAACGUCUACUCGUGGUACUGCCAUGGGCUGAUUACCUAGCAUCACUUUCUUUUGACUCAAGUCCUUUUCGGAGAGCUGCUUGAUCUCUUUUCAUGGCAUAGCGUGGAUUCUGGCUAGAACUUCCAAUAUUCAUAUACUAGAGGAUUUUUCUAGAAAUAUAUGUAUUGAGAAGUCCCACUGGGCGUGCCAAAUUGUUCAUCCGUUUUAGAUUUGUUCCUGUGAUGGUAGGGUAAAGUUCCUCAUUGACUUGAAAACCAUUGGUGGUCAAUAAGUCAACUUUCUUUUGUGUACAAAUGUGCCACUGCUAGCAAUAAAAACCCUAGCAGACUUCUUAAAAAUAGAAAACUUGUGCCCAAGUUAUUAACUUCUAAAUAAGCGAUUGUGAAUUUGGGCGAGGAAUAUCUCCCAAGUAAGUUCUUUUCUUUGCCUCAGAUUGGUGAGGACUUCACAAUUUUUCACAGUACAAAACUGGUAGUUCUAGCUAGAAUAAAUGAUAAGAAAGUGAACUGUUUUCAGGCAGAACUACCUUUUACAAAGCUUAAAAAGGAAGACCAACUCUAAAAAGACAAAAAGAGCUUUUGGACUUCAAUUUCUGCUUGGAUAAAUGCUUCUGAUCCGGGCUGGACUGGGUAUGUUUGUGCUGGACUGGACUAUCAACACCUUCAACUGUCAAGUUUUAGCUGUCAAUGAAUACCAAUGUUCGAGUGUGGCAAAGCUUCAAUCUAUUUCAAGCCGUGCAAGGCUUUUUGAACGGACAGAAUUGGAACCUCUUCAGUCUGGAAGGGGUAGAAGUGGCUGAAUUUGGUGAUUACUGAGCUGGAACUGCACUGUAGUACCUGUUCUGCUUGAUCAGGGCUCUCCAUAAAUUUGUUGAGGUUUUAAUAUUGGUAAAACCCGAAGCUUAUGUUGAACCAACUUUGUAACGAGAGAAAUCUUGCUUUGAAUGACUAUUUCUCUGAAACUAAACAGAAGUUAGAGAUUCUGGAAUAUAGCUGACUUGUUUCUUAUGGCUCAAUGAGCUUUUGGUUGCUUCAGUGUUUUGAAGGCUUUUGAGAUCAAGUGAUCAUUUUGAGUUUUUAUUUUUGAUUGAUUUUUUGGCUGUCCUUUUAUCUGUUCACCUCAUCUCAUAUUUAUAGAAUAUACUGGAGUGUGAUUUCUAAUCUUUUAAUAAUGGGCGGCAAAUCUUUUAAAAGAUCUUUUUUUCUUUUUUCAAUGUCAUAAGAGAAGGAAGCUACUAUUCUGACAGAGAAAGGUUGUCAACAAUCAUCUUUCAAUUUUUCUAUGUUCACUUUUUGUUCUUUGUAAAGAGAAAGAACACAAUCUACCAUGAUGGUCAGUGUGCUUUUCCUGUUGAACAACUCCCUCGUUCUCUACUUAUCUCUUGAAAACGUAGUCUGCUUAUCUCUUGGAAAGACCACCUGAUUUGGUGCAGAGCUUCUCUAUAUAUAUAUAUAUAUAAAGGGAUUUUGAUCUUCUUCUUUUGGCUGAAAAAAUAGAGAAGUCUUUCUGUAAGACCUGCCUUCAUUAAUUUUCUAUCAACUUCUCUGUAAUAGUUGAAAAUUUUGACUUUUCAAAGCCAGGUAUUCACGUGGGGUUGUUUAGAAAAGAUCUGUUGAUUUUGUCAAUCUUUUAGGGUAGAGAUUAAAUAGCGUAAAAAGGCUGGGCUAGUCUCUUUUUCUUAGUAGAUAAAAAGCCCAAAUAUUUUGUCUCACUGCCCUUUUCUGGAAAAUAAAUGGGCUGGGUGUGUUGGAAAUUGGCCCAAUCUUAAGAAAGACUCUGGUGGCUGCCCAAAAUUGACAUAGGCUUUUCUUGAUUUUGGGCUGGGCAUGCCAAAUUAGGCCCAAACAAUGCCCCUUAAGUCUGAAUUGUUUUUGGAAUAGUUUCAGACUUAAUGAUUUGGCCAUUAAUUUGUGCGCGCCAUUUCCUUCUGUUAGCCCACAUCUGCCACGUCUGCCUAUUAUGAUCAAGACUUCGUGGGAAAGUGGGCAGUUACUAGCUAGUUAUUAUCAGGUGGCGUCUUGUCUUCUUCUUCCCACGAUUUCGAGUCUUUCUAAGAAAUUUAAAAAGACCUCAGCUCCUGUUUACUCAAAACCUAACUUCUUCAGACCUUGAUUUUCCUCAGUUUUCUCAGAAUUUUUACCCUUUUCUGCGAUCAAACCCUGCUUCCUUUCAGUUUGAUUCCCCUAUCCUAGCUCAAAACCCGAAAAUGUCUUCUCCAAAAAAUCGUGCCCAGACUUCUUCUUAUUCUGUUCCUCCUACCUACAUUACUGGGGCCGGUGUUGAUAAGCAUGUGAUUGAAGUCCGGAGCAAGCUUCAUCCUUUUGCCCAGAACGUUCUGGACAAGAACGUGUUACAUUUGUUCGAGAACACUCUUGUUUUGGAGCCUCAUCGGUUUGGUUCUGUCCCGACUGAAAUGGCAGAAUUGUUUAAAGAAUAUACUGAAGCUCCUCUAUGCUUUCAGAGCUCUUUCGUAGAUUUCAGUUUUAUAUAUAAACUAUCGUGUUUCUCCCUAUAACAUGUCGUUUUUAAGAAUUGUUGUCAAUGUUUUAUUUCCUGCUACUAUAAGACGGCGAUUAUUUAUACAUAUGAGACGUGUAAAUUAGAAUGAGACGUCAGUCUUUGGGAUUUAAAUUAAGUUUUUACGAUUUAAUGUCAUUUUAGUUCAUAUAAGGACAUAAAUGUCCUAACCAAAAAUAUAUUUAUGUACAUUGUCAAUAAAUUAAAAUAAACCUAAACAUUGUUAAAAUAAAUUAGAUCACUUAUUAUUCUGUAAUUACUUGUUAACGAAUUCAGCCCAUUCCAACCUGACUUCGUCAAUAUGUUCUUAUACAUACUGAACUGGUUCCUUUUUCUUAUCAAACUGCAAAUAAAUAACAAAAACCAACGUGUUAUAAAGAUUACAACGACUGCUUUUAAAGAAAAAGUUGUGGUACUAAAAUAAAGAAUUUAUAUCUUAAGUUUUGCCUUUUACCUUCUUCUCAAAUGCUAGGCCUGGAUCAUGAAUUAUAUCUCUCAUGAAAUGCAUCACGUAAUAGCCACACUCUACAUUUGUUGGUUGUCGAGGAGUGCCAUGUAGAUUUUUCCAUAUGACUGAUUUACAUGAUGAUUAAUUGCCUGUGUGAGAGUUAUACAUUUUGAUUGAACUGUUUCAAGAAAAUGAAAAGUGUUAAUGAUAAAAAUAAAAAUCUAAAGCAAAAAUAUUAAACGUCGUGGUAAAUAAGUGAAGACGAUGGUUUUGUUAAAAAAGUGAUGUUGUAUUUCAUUUCAAACGUUGGUAAAUAAAAACCGUCGUUGUGUAGAAUUCUAACGUCGGUGACGAUGAAAAAUGACGUAUAACCAAAAAUUGUUUGUAAAUGAAAGUUGAACAGAAAAAAAUAAAACUUCCUUAAAUGAAAAACACAAACGACGUGGUAUUUCAAUUAAAAUGACGGUUUACAGAAAAUACUGACGUUGUAAAUGAUUUCAAACAUCGGUUUGAAGUUACCAUCGUGUUUUCAUUGUAACGUCGGUAUUAGAAAAAGCCGUAUAUCAUUCAAAUGCAAAUAAAAAAAUGUUAGAUUUUCAUAGAUAAACUUACAUAUUCACUAUAUUUCUCAUGUCCUCGUCAACAACGCGGUUUGGCAAUGAAUCCAUGUAAUAGAUAGUCUCCUUCGCUGGUCUCACAAUUAUUAACACCCAAUGACCCCUACACAUAAUGAUCCAUAUAGGUUAAAUAUACUAGAAAGAAAAAUAGGCAUCAAGUAUAGUUAAGGGGACUAACCUUGGAUUACAAGGCACCAUGUAAAAUUGAUCCCCAUUUGCGUUUUUCAGGCGGUCUGAGAGAUGUUUCAAACGGUAAGAUAACGUUCCAGAUUGAGAGCUGACUUGUCCAAGGUCCACGAAGCCAAUAAGGUUUACCAUAUUUUCUAUUUUUAAAUAGUCAAAUAGGCACCUAAAUAUAUGAAAUUCAAUUAAAUGAGAUUUUAACUUUAAAGAAAGGAAAUGUAUAAUGCAAUCACUGUGGAUCCAAUCUCAACCAUGGAAGGAAAUUGUAAAAUAUCUUCACACAAGAGGAAGGUAUCAUGGUUAAUGCCAAAGGCUUCCUCUGGAAUGUGAAUUCUAAUGGUCUCGUUAAUGGGCUUCAACUUGGUCUCGACAAAUUGAAAUAAGGCUAACAGAGGAGGUGGCAUGUCUAGCUUUGAGAGAUCCUGUUACAACAAAUAAAUAAAGAAAUAUAAGUUAGUUUGUACACUAAGUAAAAUAAACGACUCUAACUAAACCAAUCAAACCGACGUGGUAUAUAAUAUAAUCGACAGUUUCUAGAACAUACUGAAGGAGUAAAGGUUAUAGACGACGGUAAAGACAUAACCAUCGUUAUGUAAAUGUUCUAACGUCGCUGCAUUAUGGAAAGGUCGUCUAAUUAAAAUGCAGUGAAGCCUUUAUUGAAAUACACGACAGUUUAUAAAAUAAACACCGACGUAGUAAAAUACUGAGACGACGGUUAUCAGCAACGUCUAUUUGAAAUUAUAAAUCAGAAAAAAUCAAAUAUCAAAGAUUUUACCGUUUCAUCUUGCCAUUGUUUAGCAACAUCAGCAUCAUUCGUGGGAUUUUCUUCCUCCAAAACAAGGGGUCUCACAUUAGAGCAGCUUGCUUUGUCAGACAUUAGAUUUUUUGGAGUAAUUGGAGUUUUAUUGAGCAAGUUGGGAUCACAGUUGGGAAUUAGUUGACUGAAUUGUUUCAAUAAAAUUUCCCUCUCUGCUCUGACUGCCUCCAAAACAGUUUCUUUUGCCUUAGCUUUAAUCUUUUUGGUUUCUUCUCUCACUGCCUCCAUAACACUUUCCUUCAAUUUGUUAGCAAAUUUUACUCUCUGCUGUCUCGACAAAUUGAAGAAUUGAGUUGGGGAAACCCCAGCUCCAACACCUCUAACUCUCCCACCAUGCUCAGGGGUUCCCAAAGCCAAGGUCAAAAUAUCGUUGCUCUCAGAGACAGCAGAGUGCCCUCGGAAACUUGUUUUUUCAAAUCAUCCUAAAAGUGAGAGAGAGAGAGAGAGAAUGUUAGUGAGUGAACAGAUAGUAAAACAGAUUAAAUAAACAACUAUACAAAAAUAUUAACCGACGUGGUAAAGACUUUAAAAAACUGAAAUCAAUCCCCAAUAGUAACAGGGACCAUGCAGCAACGAUUUGGUUGACAGUAGUAUAGGUUGGAGAUGCUGUUGAUCAUUAGAUACUAUUUUUUUAAAUAUCAAUUCUGUAACAUCCAGACCUAAAAAAUUAAUGAUUUUGAUUUAAAAUUAAAUUUAAAUAAGCAAUUACGAAUUUACCCUUGGGGAAGGGGUAUUUUGGUAUUUUUUUUUUAUUCAGAAAGAGUUUGGGGCAGUGACUAGUAUUUUUGGGUAGAUCGUACUGAGACGAAUCCGUAGACACGCGGUAGGCCUGAAUCGGAGUUGUAACGAAGAAACGGUGACCAAAAUUAGUCCAGUGGCAAACUUGUAAAUAUUUUGAACUUGGGUGUAGAAAAAUCUGAAACUGGCUUCCUCUCUCCUGCGUGCACACGUCCUUCUCUCUCUCUCCUCUCUCUCUCCUCGAUACCAUCACUCUCUGUCUCUCUCUUCGAUUCUCUCAAUUCUGGCCACGGCAAGGGCCGGGACUGGUUCCGAUCAACUCCUCACAAAGCCCCGAACCAGAACCACCACUUUUCUUGGCCGGAAAGCUCGAGUUUCGCGUGGUAAUCUCGACUGGUUUGAACCAGUUUUCCUCCGUCAUUGUGCCGCCGCCAUCGCAGCCCAAUCUCGGUUAAACAAGUGAGGUUUCUUACUCUUUUUCCGAGCUCUAGCUGCCUGUUGGGUAGGAUUGGAUUGAUUUUUUGUCUAGGAUCCCGAUUUUGAAACCUAAGUUUUGACGAAUUUCAAAGUGAAAUUCCGGCCGGUUGCCGUCCUAAUUAGACCUCCCCGUAGUUGAAUAAAGUGAUCCUCGCUUCGAGUAGUAGCUAAGGUAGGAAUGGUGAAUUGCGGUGUGGAGUUUUUCCAUCACUGAAAAUUACUCUACACAUCCACGCGUUGCCAGGGCAUGUGGAGGCGCAUGGGCAAUGUGGUGAGACCACAUUUUAUCCUGAUGUAGUCUCCUAGUCCUCACGUGCGCGUAAGUGUGCUCGAAUUUCAAUUCGAAUGUUGUUUGACUAUCGAACGGAUUUAUGCAUAUUGUUUCUUAUCCGGGUUCAAUAUGUUCGGACCAUUGGAUCGAGUCCAAAUUUACGUAUGUUAAUCUAGGCACCCCUAGGAUCAUGUGCGAAUUCGCGGAUCGUGAAUCGGAGCCCCGAAUGUUCCGAUUCAAUAAUUUGAAGUUUAUGGUUUGCGAUAACCGUCAAUUUCUGACCAAACCUACAGGACGUGUUUCCUAAACCCGUAGUCGGACCUUAGAAUACUCGUUAUGCGUGCACGCACCGGGAACUUGAGAAAAUUAGUAUUUAAUUUGUAAAUUCCGUUUUGAAGUGAUUUUUUAUUAAUUAAGGGUGCGUAUCUCGAAAUAGGUGCUCCAUCACUAGCACGCAGCAGGUAGGACCCUCUUGAGGUCAGGCAGUGUGGGACUACUUGUGAGUGGACAUUUAUUUUAUAUAUGCAUUAUUUUCAAUGAUUGAAAGAAUAUGCAUGAAAUAUAUAUAUUUUUUGGAAUAAAGAUUGAGAAAUUCAUAUGUUGUUAUAUCAGUAUUAUUUAAUUUAGAAUUUGGUUUGAUUUGAUGAUGAGUUAUAUAAAGGUCAAGUUAUUCGUGAUUAAGUCUUGGAUGAAUUUUGGGGGAAUCGGGAAUUGAAUAUUAUGGUUUAUGGUGGGAACUUAUAUGAUUACACUGUGUGGAGUACCAUCCCCUAGUUACUAGGCUUCCCACAUGUGGCGUUGGAAAUUUUCCAGCGUGUGAUGAUGUAGUCUGCACGCAUAGGACUUAGUAUUGGAGCUACACGUGGCGUUGGAAUUUCCGGCAUGUAAGCUAUGGAGUUUCGUCCCCCGGUUGGACCGCUCAUCCCUAGACGCAGGAUAGCAACUGAAAAUCUUGCGGGUUAGCCAAACAAUCCCCCGGUUGGAUUGUUUCCCCGGUACCUAAGUAGUGUGAUAAAUAUUAUGUAUAUUUAUAGAUAUAUAUAUUUCUAUGUGUGUGUGUGUGUGUGUGUGUGUGUGUGUGUGAGUAUAAAUCAGUUAAAGUAUAUGUAGUGGUUGGGUAAGAGCAGUAUAAAUUUUGGGGAUAAAGUUUAUGGAUAGAGUGAUUGAUCUCAAAGGGUUUCGGAGAAUGAUGUUUUUGAUCAUUAAAUAAAAGUUAUGAAUCUGCAUGUCUUGAGCAUUAUUUUUAGACGGUGGGGUUAUUAUGUUGUUUUGAAUGCAAAUUUUGUUUUUCCACUCACAUGUUUUCUGUUUUGCGCCCCCCAAACAGUAGUCGCUCAAGGGAGAGUUGCAAGCCAUGUUCGAGGCCCCGAACUGUGAACAUCAGUAGAUUAGGUUUCGAGUAAUUUCUUUCUACUCAACUGGAUGUUCUUGUAAACUAAAUUCGUUAGAUGCUCUAUUAUUGCCCCUGUUAGGUUUUACUUGUGAGGCCAGAGGCCAUUUAGUUUAUACUGUUGAAUAAUAAAUGCAUGCUGCUGGUUGGGAUUAUAUUGUGCUUAUGCAGGUUGAAAUUUUUGGGAUUGUUCAAUUUACAUGGGAGACUCUAGCAAAAUUUUAGUAGAGAGUCUCGGUUUUUAAUAAGUGGGCCAGGCAUCGGGGUAAUGUCGGAAAUAAGACUGGAUUCGUCCCGGUUUCCGAAGAAUUCGAGGCGGGUCCUGUCAAGUUCCUCCUAUUAACAAUAAUAAAUUAAAUAUUUAUAUAACUGAUAACAGUUCCUCAUAUUAACAAUAAUAAAUUAGUAUUUUGUAUAAUAAACAUGUUUAAUGAAAUUCAUCUUCUUCUAGCAUGUUUAUUUAAAUUCUAAGUUUUCUGAAGAAAAAAAAAAAAAAAAAGGAGAAGGAAAUGUCCUAAAUUAAAUCUUAAAAGUUCAUUUUUUUCUGUCCCUAUAUAUUUUUUACCCAAUUAUAAUUUGAGAAAAAAAGGUGAAUUAACUGUCAUUUCACCUUCAUCAUUUUCAUGAUUUAUAUAAGAUUCUUCAAAGAUCAUUUCCACAAAAAAUUACUUAAAUUCGAAUCCAUUUAACCGUCUAAUUAAAUCGUUAGGACCGUUGAAAUAAAAUUUAAAGUGAGUUUAAAGUGAGUCCUACUAUGUCUCCCUCAAAUAAGAUCAUUUACAGGAUCUGUCGAGUCAUAUGAGAAUGUUUAGCUUUUCGAUCCCAAGAGUUUGGUUCGAUUUUCAUAUAUAUAUAUAUAUAUAUAUAUAUAUAUACAAGUCAAUUUACUUUAAAAAGUUCACCAAAUUUUAUUUUUGGUCUCGGUAGUUUGCUUGAGGGCCUUUUUCUGUCAAUCUAUUUGUUGUGAUUGAAAGAUUUUAUAUAAAACAAAAGAUAUGUUUUUAUCUUAAAAAAUGCUUAUUUUCAGAUCUUUACAUAUAGACAUACAUAUGGCCUGAGAAUUCAAGCAAUAAAGACAUAAGCUGAUGAGCAUUCAUAAUCAUUAGAAUGAGUACUGAAUGGUCAACUCUUUCAAAAUACUUCGGAAAAAAACAAAGGACAAUACUUCCUUCCUUACUCAUAAGAAGGAACUCCUUCUCACCUUCUAUUGUCCCUCAACCACAAAGUAACAAGUGUUCUCUUUUUUUAAUUGUCAAUUUUUUUUUUUUCACUUUUACUGAACCCCUAGCUUUUUACCAAAGCAAAAAACACAAAACAAUAUUCCCAUUGUUUUUUUUUUUCAUUUUGAUUUUUUUCUCAACUUUUUGAAAAAUAACAUUUUUCCUUCUUCAGUAAAAAAUUGAAGUCUUUGUGGUUAAAAGCUAAGGUUUCAGUAAAGGUUUAAAAUAAAUAAAAAGUUUUGACAAUUCAAAAAACAGAACACAUAUCACUUUGUGGUUGAGCCGCAAUAGAAAGUAAGAAAGAAUUCCACCUUACCCAUAAGGAGGGAAGUAUUGUCAAAAAGAAAACAUCUUAAAAAACACACAGAAAACCCACCAUCACUACUUAAAAGAAGUAGAGAAGUCCAACAUUCUGAUUUUUAUACACCUACGUGACGUGAGCAUUCAAUAAUCAUCCUACACAUAUGUUGAUGUGAGCAUUCAAAAUCAUUAGAAUGAUUUAAUUGAAGACUCAACGUACGGACGUCUUUUUCACUUAGAUUCCCUUCCUGUACAAACUUGAAUCAGUUCCUCCACGACCCCAUCAAUCUCUUCAUCCUCUUUCUUGUUCACGUUGUCGCUUAUUUUCAAUGCCUUUUUUCUCACUCCCUCUCCAAAUUUCUCCACAACCACAUCUCUAAUCACCUUUGCGACCUCUUCUCUUUGCAAACUUCCUUCACCUGUUCUCUUAACCUCCACACCAACACCCACCUCCUCCACUAGUCUAGCGUUGAUCGGCUGGUCAAGAUGCAUAGGCAUGGCUAUAAUUGGAACACCAAACUUGAUGCUCUCCAACACUGAGUUCCAUCCGCAGUGACUCACAAACCCCCCAACACUAGAAUGCUGCAGUAUCUUUGCCUGUGGGGCCCAACCCUCCAUUAUCACUCCCUUCUCUCCCACCCUCUGUAAAAACCCUUCUGGUAACACCUCUUCAACCCUAGUACUUCUCUCCUCCUUAGAAAAUCUUAUAACCCAAAUGAAGCUCACUUUGCUAAGCUCUAAUCCGUGAGCUAUCUCUUCUAUUUGCUCCUUGGACAGAAAGUACUCACUGCCAAAGCAAACAUACACAACAGAAGACCUUUCCAUUUUGUUCAGCCAUUUCAUGAUCCAUGUUUCCUCAUCAACUUUUUGAUCCAUUGGCUCUUGAACAAGCGUGCCAACAGGCACGAUCUUCUUCCCCGUUAAAUCAGAGAGAUAAUCAAUAUAUUUUUCUUCAAUCUCGCUGGAUGUCUUGACCAAAAUGAUGUUACAAGAUCGAGCACUGCAUUGCUGAACACGGUCUCCGUCUUUGAUGCCAUUUGCUGAAGAUUCCAACAAAUUGUUGAACUUUUCAGCUUCGUAAUGUUGAAGAUAAAUCGAAGGAAAAGGAAACUUGACACUAGGGUUCUUGAGAUGUUGAAUACUAAAUGAAGUAAAGGCAGCACCCAUGGUGGUGAAUUCAAUGGAUGGAAAAUUUUGCAAUGAAGCUAGAGAGGGCGCCCAUGGUUGAAGAACAUCAUAUAUGAGCAAAUCUGGACUUAGGGUUUUGAGGAUGUUGGAGAAGUUGUUGCUGGACAUGCUGAAAGCCGUUUUGAGAGUGGACAUGAGAUGGGGAGGGAGGCCAUUGGUGGUGUGGUAGUGCGGUGGGAGUUCAGGCAAGUCAUCAUGUGGAAGAUGGAGUUCCACAAAUUCAAUGCAAUGAGAAUAUUUUUGGGAGAGUUUAGGCUUGAUGGAGCUGAGAUUUACAGGCGUGGAACAAAUAAAGAUGUGAAAAUUUCUCUUGGUGGUCAGCUUCUUGGCUAGCUCUAGGUAGGGAGAUAUAUGGCCGUGAGCUAGCCAUGGAAGCAAAAGAAUAGUAAGGCUUCUUUGGUCAGAGAAAACCAUAUUUUGUUUUCCUUUGACUUGUUUUCCUUUGACUCUUUUGCUUGAGGUUGCUCGAUUAUAGGCUUAUUGGUAGUUUGUUUGUGGCUAGCUCUAUGCAUAUAUAUAUAUAUAUAUAUAUAUAUAUAUAUAUAUAUAUACACACACAAAAACGCGUGAUGAUUGGAACAUGCACACGUAAGUUCCAGAGAGUGAUGAUUGGCCUAUGAUAAAGACUCGAAACAAGAAUAGUUUAAAUUUUCUUCUUUGUUUGGCUUGAUAUAAGACGAAUGCACCAAACAAACCGACUAAAUGCCGACACAAUAAUUAGGUACGUAAUAAUAUCAACUUUCAUUAUAUAGAUCUGAGAAACAAAAAGUUGAACUUUGAUGACAAGCGAUAUUAAGGAAGGGCACAAUCGAACUUAGGAUCUCGAAUGUUGAAGUACAUGCUCUUAACAACUUGAGCUAUAAGGUAUUUGUAAUGACAAUUUAUGGUUUUAAUUAUACUUUUGAAUAGUUGCUUCCUUCUCUUUCAUUUUUAUUUUUAUUUGUUUAUAUUUAACUCUAAUUUUAUUUAUAUUUCUGGUCAAGGUAUAAAGACUUUGAAUCUCUCUCCAAUUAUUUUUCACAGCCGAAACUCCUUUAGUUUCCACAAAUCUUUUUAAACAUUUCAGGCAUAUGUAUGUUUCCGAGUCGGAUGGUUCACGUAACCAAGAAAUUUAAACUUGUUUUUGUUUGUUCCUCCGAAGAAAGCACAACAAAAGGACAACCUACAACCAAUACUUCUCAUUGAAUUUGUUGCCGUGAAUGAUUAGGACUCUGCCCAAACUAGUAGUUGCGUUUCUGAAUUGUUUGAAAACACAUAUCAAAUUAUGAUUUCUCCUCCCCGAAAGAAAAAUUGACGUAGAAGUAUCAUGAUCUUGAUGACACAAAUUAGAAUCUAGGGUUUUCGAAGUGCCUAAUGGACAACUACUUAUUUAGAAAUAUAUAUAUUUUUGUGGCUAAAAUUUAAAUUUAUUAUAUAUAUUCUCAAUGCAGAAACACAUAAAUCUAAGUUCGAAUUCAUCCUUUUUUUGUUUUUUUUUUUUUGUUUUUUUAACCCAGAAGAAAAAUUGAGUCCCACUCUGCUGUGUAGAAUGCGCGUUUAGUAUAGAUUUUUUUAUUUUUGAGUCUCUUAUCUGGUUCCCGAGCUUCUACAUUUAGGUCUCGUGUAUUUAUCUGCAUUUUCUUAAAUCUAAAUCACUCAAACAAUCUAACCACUUAACAAAUGACACGUACUCAAACUUAAAAUCAGAAUGGAUGGAGUAGAGGCUUACACCGAUGAUUCUUGGUCAAGACUUGAGAGACAGAUGGAGACGAGGCAUGACAUAAAGUCUGAAGAAGAGAAACGAGGAAGCUUCAUUUAGAUGGUGGUGUAAGUGCAUACGUAAAGUCCAGAUUCAACAGGAAAGCAUCUUAAACGUAAAGAAAAUAAGUUUACCAGAAGCAAAAGAGAUACUGAAGUAAUUGUUUAUCAACUGAACUUAAACGAAAUAUUAACUCUUUGUUGUGCCAUAAGCACAAGAUCUUAUGAAAAAAAAUUCAAGAUAAACCAUAUAAUAUUGGGAGAUUCACGUUUAUACCGAAUAUAGGAAUUCAAAUUAUAAAAUAAAUAAAUAAAUAAAAUAAUCGAUAUGAAAUGGACUUUAGAAACACACACAAAGCCUAUUUACAACAUAACAAAAAGGUUUUUCCCUUCUUUUAAAUUACAAAACUGCCAUUGAUUUCUUAAAACAAACCCAACUCCAAAACCUCAUUAAAAAAGCACAAAACACUCAAUAGGGUGUCAAAGUAAUUUAAUAAUAAAAAAUAAAUUCAAUAAGGCCAAUUGAAUUUUUUGGAUUUUUUUUUGGGUUUGUUUAUAGAAAUUAAUGGUGUAGGGUUUAUCUAUAUUAUUGGUGUUAAGAAUGAAUAAUGACUAAAUAUCUCUAUAAUAUUUUCUAACUCACAAAAUAAUAUAGAAAAUAAAUGCAAGAACAAGAAAAUAGCAAUAUGCAAUUUAACGAAGCUGCUUACAAUCAGUGCAAAUGAGCAAACAAAUUCGCUAUUAAUUUAUGAAGUGUUUUUGUAUUUACAAUACCGCCUCUUGAAUGUCCACCAUACAAUAAUAUAGUUGCAUCAUUAAAAACUUUACUUGAAAAAUCGUUUGGGACAAAACUUAAGCUAAGAGAAAAAGAGUGCAACACAAAUGAUAUUGACAUCACAUAUGUCUCUCCUACAGAGUGAGCUUUGGUGAUGCUUGUAUAAAAAUUGCUUUCACAUCAUUAUUGGGAGAUGUAUGUAUGUCAUCAAUCAUUUGAAUCUUGUUGAGGUUAAAGUAAAACCAAAAAAAUAUCAAGGGCCAUUUUCAUAUAGUUUUUCACAAUAAAAAUUAACAAAAUAACUUCAUGUUCUUUAAUAUCAUCAAAAAAAUAAUAUAAACAAACUCAUAGUUUACCUUUUCAAUGAUAAGUGUUUGGAAAAUUUACAUGGAAUAAUAUUUGGUAUGCUAUGCUAGCAUCUCAUAAGCUCUUCAAGAGACCUAAAUUUUAUGAUAACUUCUUAAAAAAAUUUGAAUACUUUUCAACAAUAUUAAACUUGAAUUCAAACUCAUAAUUCAAUCAAAGUACUCAUUGAGGCAAUUUAGAUCAUUUUCAUUUUAAGAAAAUUGGGUGCAUACAUUGAGCUUCAUGCCCUUUACCUUCUUAGAGAUUUUCUUCGAGCAAUUUAUAUUGCAUGACAGAUUAUAUCUCUUAGAAUUUGUUCUUAUGUAUUCUUCAAGAGAUCUCUUCUUGCAAUAUGCUUCAAACACUUCAUAAUCUUUAUAGAUUUUUCAUGUAGAUUUAAGGUCUCCAUGAAUAUUGAGAUUGAAACAAGGAGUAAAAUAAAAGUUUAAGAAAAAUUUUCCCUGAUUAUUUUGUAAUUAUAAUGUUGGUGAAAACCUAAUUUCCUUUCUGAAAUUUGUGAAAUUUGUUAUUUGGCUAAGCUAAAAGUAUAAUAUUGACAAUAAAACGUAUACGAAAGUUUCUCUUUGGCUGGCUUCUUGGCUGGCUCUAGGAAGGGACAUUGCGGCCAUGAGAUAACCAUAGGAAGCAUAAUAAGAAUGCUUGGAUGCUCUGAACAAUCCAUUUUCUGACUCUUUUUCUUGAGGCGGUUGUUUUCUUAGGCCCAUCAGAGUUUAUGGUCGACAGAUAAGCUUCAAACACAUGCAUUGGUCGUGUCAGUUGCGAUAAACUCUUCCCAACAAUCUGAGACUCACAUCACUCCAAACACAUAAAAAGAAGUGGAAAUUUGCUAUUCUUUGUCUUUGUUUGGACAGCUAAUAGCAAAGCAUUGGAAACAUCGAAAAAAGAAAGUUAAUUAAUUUAAGAAAAACAAAGAAAUCCUUCUUUUUUUUUCUUUUUUUUUUCAGCAAACCGAAACAUAAAAUCCGAAAAAGAAGAAGGCAUGUCCAAAAUUACAUCUUGAAUUUAUUUUGGAGAUUCACUAUUAUACUCAAAUUAUAUAUGAAAUAAAUUUUAGAAACACACAUGACGCCAAUUUACAAUAUAACAAAAAAACUUUUAACUUCUUGUAAAUUACAAAAUUGUUAUCGAUUUCUUAAAACAAGCCUAAUCCUAAAACCUCAUAAAAAAAAAAUCAAAACACUCAAUAAGGCAUCAAAGUAAUUUAAUAAUUAAAAUUAAAUUUAAUAGGGUCAUCUGUCAUUUUUUGGAUUUUUUUCGAAGUUGUUUAUAAAAAUUAAAAUAAUGUAUAGUUUGUUUAUAAAAAUUAAAUGAUGUAGAGUUUCUUUAUAUAAUUAAUGUUAAUAAUGAGUAUAUGAAUAAAUGUCACUUUUCUUUAUUAACCAUUUAUAAUAUAUGAACUCAAGACUUCCUAUCGAACACCGAAUGGUCUUUCCAUUCCUUGUUAAUUCAAAGUCUGAAAAUGUUCGGUGUCAGCUCAUGAAUUUAAAGGCUUAAAGGCUCAAAACUUGAACGAAUAUGAAAGAAAAAAGUCGUUCACCGUUCAUCCUCUUCCUGCAGCUGUGCAUGCUAAUCACCCACUGAAUUAAACAUACAAAUACGCUUUAUGUUUUCUCAAAUUGUUCUUUGAACUAAGUAGAGGUUGGAAUACACUCGGGGUCAACAUUGUUCAAAUACAAAACACUUCUUAAUUUUAUAUUUUAUCAAAACAGAUCGAAACUUCAUUCAAACUGAGAACCUAGAUUACAAAACUACCAGAAAAACUGGAAUCUGCACUGUGGCCUCAUUAAAACCUUGCUUUAAAAAACUCCUAAAAGAGGAGAAUUCAGUCAAGAAAAAAGAGUACCACAGCAAGUGAAAUCCGAUAUCAUACUUCAUUCCUUUCUCAUACAAAGUUGAAUCAACUGCUCUACCACCCCAUCUAUCUCUUCAUCCUCUCUCUUUUUCAUGUUGUCUCUCAAUUCCAUUGCCUUUCUUUUCAAACCCUGUCCAUUUUCUUCCACCACCACAUCUCUGAUUACUUUUGCUAUCUCGUCCCUUUUCAGCCUCCCGUUCUCGUUGCCGCCUCCUCCCAUUCUCUUAACCUCCACACCAACUCCAACGUCCUCUACUAUUCUAGCGUUAAUAGGCUGGUCAAGAUGCAUAGGCAUGGCUACAAUUGGAACGCCAAACUUGAUGCUCUCCAACACUGAGCUCCAUCCACAGUGGCUCACAAACCCACCAGCACUAGAAUGCUUCAAUACUUUUGCCUGUGGAGCCCAACCAUCCACUAUUAUUCCCUUCUCCCCCACCCUCUCAAAAAACCCUUCUGGUAAUACCUCUUCAACCCUAGUACCUUUCUCUUCCUUAGGAAAUCUUAUAACCCAAAUAAAACUCACUUUGCUAAUCUCUAGCCCAUGAGCUAUCUCUUCUAUUUCCUCCUUGGAUAAAAAGUACUCACUGCCGAAGGAAACAUACACCACCGAAGAUCUUUCUCUAGUGUUUAGCCACUUCAUGAUUUUUGUUUCCUCCGAAUCCACUUCUUGCUCUAUAAGGUCUUGAACAAGUGAACCAACAGGCACAAUCUUCUUCCCAAUUAGAUCAGAGAGAUAAUCAAUAUAUUUUGCUUCAAUCUCUCUAGAACUCUUAACUAAUACGAUCUUACAAGAACGAUCGCUGCACUGCUUAGCACGGUCUCCAUCACUGAUGCCAUUUGAUGAAGAUUCUAACAACAUCUUGAUCUUACUAGUCUCGUAAUAGAUUGAAGGAAACGGAAAUUUGACACCAGGUUUCUCGCCAUGGUGGGUACAAACUGACAUCAUGGCAGCACUGGUUGUGAAGAACUCGAUGGCUGGAAUGUUUUGUAACAAAGCUAGAGAGGGUGCCCAUGGUUGAAGAAAAUCAUAAAUUAGCAAAUCCGGGUGUAGGGUUUUGAGGAUGUUGGAGAAGUUAGGGCUUGCCCUGUCGAAGGCGGUUUUGAGAGUGGACAUGAGGUGGGGUGGGAGGCCAUUGGUAGUGUGGUAAUGAGGUGGGAGUUCAGGCAAGUCGUCAUAUGGAAGAUGUAGUUGCACGAGUUCAAUGCAACGAGAGUAUUUUUCAGAGAGUUGUGGCUUGAUGGAUCUGAGAUUUACAG
rnacentral:lncRNA from 1 species